UAAUGAAUAUUCGGCAAUGCGCGCAAGCGUGACCGAGCGACGCCGCGUGGGUGAUGAAGGCCUUUAGGUUGUAAAGCCCUUUUGUGUUUUGGGAAUAAGCCGUAGCCAAUAACUACGGUGAUGACCGAGUCACGAAUAAGUUCCGGCUAACUCCGUGCCAGCAGCCGCGGUAAUACGGAGGGAGCAAACGUUGUUCGGAAUCACUGGGCAUAAAGCGCACGUAGGCGGCGGCGUAAGUGGGAUGUGAAAUUUUUCGGCUUAACCGGAAACGGCCAUCUUAGACUGCGUUGCUUGAGGUUGGUAGAAGUGAGUGGAACUCUAGGUGGAGCGGUGAAAUGCGUUGAUAUCUAGAGGAACGCCGGAGGCGAAAGCGACUCACCGGGCCAAAUCUGACGCUGAGGUGCGAAAGCUAGGGGAGCAAACA
rnacentral:rRNA from 1 species